rnacentral:rRNA from 1 species
CGUAGGGUGCAAGCGUUAAUCGGAAUUACUGGGCGUAAAGCGUGCGCAGGCGGUUUUGUAAGGCAGGCGUGAAAUCCCCGGGCUCAACCUGGGAAUGGCGCUUGUGACUGCAAAGCUGGAGUGCGGCAGAGGGGGAUGGAAUUCCGCGUGUAGCAGUGAAAUGCGUAGAUAUGCGGAGGAACACCGAUGGCGAAGGCAAUCCCCUGGGCCUGCACUGACGCUCAUGCACGAAAGCGUGGGGAGCAAACAGGAUUAGAUACCCUGGUAGUCCACGCCCUAAACGAUGUCAACUGGUUGUUGGGUCUCUUCUGACUCAGUAACGAAGCUAACGCGUGAAGUUGACCGCCUGGGGAGGUACGGCCGCAAGGUUG